GGGGGGGGGGGGGGGGGGGGGGGGGGGGGGGGGGGGGGGGGGGGGGGGGGGGGGGGGGGGGGGGGGGGGGUGGGACAUUGGCGACAUUGGGGACACCAUGGGAACACUGGGGACACUGGGGACACUGGGGACAUUGGGGACAGUGGGGACACUCGGAACACUGGGGACACUGGGGACACUGGGGACAUUGGGGACACUGGGGACAUUUGGGAUACUGGAGACACUGGGGGCACUGGGGACACCAUGGGGACACCAUGGGAACGCCGUAGGGACAUCUUGGGGACAUUGGGGACACCAUGGGGAUGCUUUGGGGGCACCGUGGGGACACCAUUGGGUCAAUCCCAGUCACACCUUGGGGACACCUUGGGGACAUCCCAGUCACACCUUGGGGACAUCCCGGUGACACCCUGGGGACAAUCCCAGCCACACCUUGGGGACACCUUGGGAACAUCUCAGUGACACCUUAGGGACAAUCCAAGUGACAUCUUGGGGACAUCCGUGUGACACCUUGGGGACACCUUGGUGACAUCCCGGUGACACCCUGGGACAAUCCAGGCCACCCCUUGGGGACACCUUGGGGACACCUUGGGGACAAUGCCAGCCACCCCUCGGGGCAAUCAUGGCUACCCCUUGGGGGCAAUCCCAGUCACACCUUGGGGACACUGUGGGGAUACUCUGGGGACAUCCCGGCCACCCCUCGGGGCCAUGCUGGCUGCGUGUCCCCGCGGUGACGCCGCGCUGUCCCCGUGUCACCCAGGCCUUCCCCAGGCGGCUGGUGGCCUUCUCCACCUGGAUCGACCGCACGCGCUGGGCUCGCAACUCCUGGGCCAUGGCGGCCAUCGCCAUCGUCACCGCCGCCGACGUCCUGGACAUGCUCGGCUGCCGCCGCGCCCGCUGGCCGGUGGCCAACGUGACCACGGGGCCACCUCGUGGCUGCGCUGACCAGCCCAAGUACUACGGGUACAUCGCCCUGCUGGCCCUGGUGGCCACCGUGAUGCUGGUCCAGGUGAGCCACAUGGUCAAGCUGACCCUCAUGGUGCUCAUCACGGUGGCCACCGGCGCCCUCAACUUCUCCGCAUGGGAGCCCAUCCUGGACCAGUACGACCGGCGGCGUGGCCAGCACGGCUCGUCGGUGCUGGUGCCCUCCAAGUACUCCAUCACUGCCAUGAUCUUCGUGGUGAUGCUCAGCUUCUACUACUUCUCCCGGCACGUGAGUGGCUGCGAAGGUCUCCUUCCUCCUCCUCCCUCCUCCUCCUCCUCCUCCCUCCUCCCUUUCCUUCUUUAUCCUUCUUUUUUCCUUCUCUUUCCUUCCCUUUUCCUCCUUCUUCCCUUUUCUUUCCCUCCGUUUUCCUCCUCCUUCCUACCUUUUCCUUUUUCUUCCACCCUUUUCCUCCUCCUUCCCUCCCUCUUCCUUCCUUUUCCUCUCUUUUCCAUCUUCUUACUCCAUUUUCUUCCUCCUUCCUCCGUUUUGCUUCUCCUCCCUUUUCCAGCUCUUUCCUUCCCCUUUUCUUUCCUUUUCCUCCUCUCUUCUCUCUCCUUUUCCCCCUUCCCUUUUCUUCCCUCCCUUUUCCUCCCUUUCCCCUUUUUUCUUCGUUUUUCCUGUUCUUUCCUCCUGUUUCCUGCUUUUCCUCCUAUUUCCUCAUCUUUGCUCCCUAAAUCCCUUCCCAAAUUCCCUAAAUCCUUUCCCAACUUCUCUUCCCUGAUUCCUUGGAAGUUUCAGGACUCUGGGAUUUUUCUCAGGCCCAGCCAUAGCACCCACGGAAGAAACCCCUGAAGGGUUUUCCAGCCCCCACCAAUUCCGGGAACACCCUCAUCCCAUGAUCCCAUCCCAUGGAUCCCAUUUUCCCUUUUUCCCAUUUUCCCAUCCCAUCCCAUCCCAUCCCAUCCCAUCCCAUCCCA
rnacentral:lncRNA from 12 species